CAGUCGCCGCGGUAAUACGAAAGGUGCAAGCGUUACUCGGAAUUACUGGGCGUAAAGCGUGCGUAGGUGGUUGUUUAAGUCUGCUGUGAAAGCCCUGGGCUCAACCUGGGAAUUGCAGUGGAUACUGGGCGACUAGAGUAAGGUAGAGGAUAGUGGAAUUUCCGGUGUAGCAGUGAAAUGCGUAGAGAUCGGAAGGAACAUCUGUGGCGAAGGCGACUAUCUGGGCCAUUACUGACACUGAGGCACGAAAGCGUGGGGAGCAAACAGGAUUAGAUACCCGCGUAGUCCCUGUCUCUUAUAC
rnacentral:rRNA from 1 species